AAUAAAACAUAUAUACACAAUACUGUGAACAAACCAGAGUGUAUAAAACAUGUAAUAUAUUAUAUAUUUAGCAAUGAAUGUUUUAUCAUGGAAUAUUGCUAUAAUGAAUAUUAAUAUCGAUGGAGAUAGUUGGAGUUAAGAGUACUGAUAGGCGAGCGGUGAAAUGCAUUGACCCUAUUAAGACUAACAAAAGCGAAAGCACUUAACUAGAUUAUUCUCUUUGUAUUAUUUUACAAUGAAGAGCGAAGGUUGGGGGAACAAAGAGGAUCAGAUACCCUCGUAGUCCUAUUUUUACAUCAAACUAUGGGAUUUCAUUCACACUAAACACUAAACAUUAUAAUUAUAAUUAUGAUUGAGUAUAUGUCAAAAUAUUACUCUCAUAUUAAAUAAUUAUUAUAUAUAUGAUUAUAUGUACUUUGAGCUCAUAUAAUUAUAUAGGUGAGAUGUAAGCAUUAUAAAGUGAAUAAUAUACAAGUAAUAUUGUAUUAUUAUGAUCUUUAAAAUAAAAAAUGUAAUGUGAUG
rnacentral:rRNA from 1 species